rnacentral:rRNA from 1 species
UACGAAGGGUGCAAGCGUUACUCGGAAUUACUGGGCGUAAAGCGUGCGUAGGUGGUUUGUUAAGUCUGAUGUGAAAGCCCGGGGCUCAACCCCGGGAGGCGGGUGGAUACUGCUCAGCUCGAGUCCGGAAGAGGAGUGUGGAAUUCCUGGUGUAGCGGUGAAAUGCGCAGAUAUCAGGAGGAACACCGAUGGCGAAGGCAGCACUCUGGGACGGUACUGACGCUGAGACGCGAAAGCGUGGGGAGCAAACAGG